ensembl:snRNA U6 U6 spliceosomal RNA
GUGCUUGCUUCAGCAGCACAUACACCAAACUGGAAAAAGACAGAGAAGAUUAGCACGACCCCUGUGCAAGGAUGACGUGCAAAUCCAUGAAACUUUCAUAUUUGGG